rnacentral:tRNA from 1 species
GGCCCGUUAGCUCAGUUGGUUAGAGCGUCGUGCUAAUAACGCGAAGGUCGUGGGUUCGAUCCCCCCCACGGGCCA